rnacentral:rRNA from 1 species
AGAUUAGCACCGGCUAACUCUGUGCCAGCAGCCGCGGUAAUACAGAGGGCGCAAGCGUUAAUCGGAAUUACUGGGCGUAAAGCGAGCGUAGGUGGCUUGAUAAGUCAGAUGUGAAAUCCCCGGGCUUAACCUGGGAACUGCAUCUGAAACUGUUAGGCUAGAGUAGGUGAGAGGAAGGUAGAAUUCCAGGUGUAGCGGUGAAAUGCGUAGAGAUCUGGAGGAAUACCGAUGGCGAAGGCAGCCUUCUGGCAUCAUACUGACACUGAGGCUCGAAAGCGUGGGUAGCAAACAGGAUUAGAUACCCUGGUAGUCCACGCCGUAAACGAUGUCUACUAGUCGUUGGGUCCCUUGAGGACUUAGUGACGCAGCUAACGCAAUAAGUAGACCGCCUGGGGAGUACGGCCGCAAGGUUAAAACUCAAAUGAAUUGACGGGGGCCCGCACAAGCGGUGGAGCAUGUGGUUUAAUUCGAUGCAACGCGAAGAACCUUACCUGGUCUUGACAUAUCUAGAAUCCUGCAGAGAUGCGGGAGUGCCUUCGGGAAUUAGAAUACAGGUGCUGCACGGCUGUCGUCAGCUCGUGUCGUGAGAUGUUGGGUUAAGUCCCGCAACGAGCGCAACCCUUGUCCUUAGUUACCAGCGGGUUAAGCCGGGAACUCUAAGGAUACUGCCAGUGACAAACUGGAGGAAGGCGGGGACGACGUCAAGUCAUCAUGGCCCUUACGACCAGGGCUACACACGUGCUACAAUGGUAGGUACAGAGGGCAGCUACACAGCGAUGUGAUGCGAAUCUCAAAAAGCCUAUCGUAGUCCAGAUUGGAGUCUGCAACUCGACUCCAUGAAGUAGGAAUCGCUAGUAAUCGCGGAUCAGAAUGCCGCGGUGAAUACGUUCCCGGGCCUUGUACACACCGCCCGUC